CAUCAUUAGAUAAUUAAUGCCAUGUAUCAUAUGGAGAGCCUCUGUGAUUUAAGUGUCUUUACUUCAGAUAUUUGCACCCAGCAUGAGAAAAAUGACGAGAGAUGGGGAGGACCAAAACUUCCAUGCUUUUUCUUACCUGCCUUCUUUGCAGGUUGUUGCAACCAGUGCAACAUGACGGACAUAAUGCAAAGAAUUUCCCUUUCCAAGCCACAUGUAGACCAGGGGAUGUAUAGAACAUUGUACAUGGUCGACUACAAGCCCUAUGCGGAACAUCAUCAGUGGCGUCCCAUGAUGGACCCUUCACAGAGACUAAAACUGGAAGCCCAGCUGAAGGAGAAGGAGCUUGCAAGGCCUGUUCAGAAGAAACCGGUGAAAUAUGUUGAGGAGCCUGGCUGUCAAGAAGUUCAGCCACCUUAUCCUGUAGGAAUGGUUGGGAGGGCCUCAAAAGGCCUAGAAGCUCCACCGCCAAACCAACAAGCCCAAGAAGAACAAUGGAACCACUCCCUUCCUCUUGCUGAUCCAACUGCAAUUCAAGAAAAGGAAGCUGAGAGAUUAGCUCAGCUGGCAGAUGCUAUUGCUCUGACAGGUAACACAGAUGUGCCAUGCAUCAAGCAAGAACAGGGCCAGAACUGGAACAGUUAUCAGCAAUUCCUCUUGGAAAACCGGCGAGCUAAUCAAGUACAAGUUCAAGAAAUUAAGAGGCUGAAUCUGGAAACGUCUGUAUUUCCAAGAGAUUUCAUCAGGAGUACUGAUGCAAGUACUUACCAAAGGGAUUACAAAUGCUGGCCCAGAAUCCGGGGUGGAUUUUGCCGAGCGAAUCGGAAUUUCUCGAAUCUCCUCUUAGAAGAUGGCUACUACAAAAACAAUCCCUGGUCAUCAGAAUACAUGGACAACUAUAACAUUUUCUUGAGGAAGUUGCACUGGACCGCUCGCAAUCCUGUCUCAUCUUUUUGCUCAGCUGUACAGCCCAUCCCCCAUCUCUCCCAUGGAAUGCCCUCGCAGACGCCUAUAGCCGUGAACACAGCACCUUAAAAAUAUGCAGCCAUUUUUGAUUAUGUUCUGCAAGCAAAAUAGGAUUUCAGUCAUGGAAAUAUUGAUAUGAUGCCAUGGAAGCCUGAACACUGCACACGACAGACUAUUGUUUAUAUUAAGCUUAUUUAUACUUGUGUAUGUACCAUAGCUAGAUUUUGAGUACUGUAUAUCUAUUUUCUAGAGCUAAAGCAGAGCCCUGGUUUGAAAUGUAUGUGGAAAUUGACACAUGUAUCUUAGAAUAAUCCAAAUAUAGAAUUAUUCAAGUUGUUCUACCUUUUAAAUAAAAAUAUGCUAAUUAAAAACA
rnacentral:lncRNA from 1 species